rnacentral:rRNA from 1 species
GUUAGUGGCGGACGGGUGAGUAACGCGUGAGAAUCUGCCCUCAGGAGGGGGACAACAGCUGGAAACGGCUGCUAAUACCCCAUAUGCCGCGAGGUGAAAUGAAUUUCGCCUGAGGAUGAGCUCGCGUCUGAUUAGCUAGUUGGUGUAGGUAAUGGCUCACCAAGGCAUCGAUCAGUAGCUGGUCUGAGAGGAUGAUCAGCCACACUGGGACUGAGACACGGCCCAGACUCCUACGGGAGGCAGCAGUGGGGAAUUUUCCGCAAUGGGCGAAAGCCUGACGGAGCAACGCCGCGUGAGGGAUGAAGGCCUCUGGGCUGUAAACCUCUUUUAUCAAGGAAGAAGAUCUGACGGUACUUGAUGAAUAAGCCACGGCUAAUUCCGUGCCAGCAGCCGCGGUAAUACGGGAGUGGCAAGCGUUAUCCGGAAUUAUUGGGCGUAAAGCGUCCGCAGGCGGCCCUUCAAGUCUGCUGUUAAAAAGUGGAGCUUAACUCCAUCAUGGCAGUGGAAACUGUUGGGCUUGAGUGUGGUAGGGGCAGAGGGAAUUCCCGGUGUAGCGGUGAAAUGCAUAGA